CCUCCUGCGCAUUGCUGCGCAUGAGCGGCGGCCCAUGGCUGGGAUGACGCGCGCACGACGGCCUCCCGCGAACACAUGGCCGGGACGGCCGCGGCCUCCCACGGAGGAGACAAAGGGUAGCUAGGGCGAGUGGCGCGGAGGGCAACUCAAGCGGCGGCGAGCUAGUCCGAUGCUUGCUGGCGGCGAUGGGCGGAGGGAGGCGGCUGAUGGCGCCGGACGGUGAGGAGUUGAAGAGGUAGAUCAUGCGGCCAAGAAAUUAUGAGGCUAGCAGAUCCUACGGUCAGAGAGAGAAAGGAAGAAAGGGAGAAGGAAAGGGAGAUGGGUGAAUUGCCCUUUGUAAAGGGAGGGGGAAGAGAGGGGAUUGAGAAAAAAUAAAGGAAAAAGUGAAAUAGAAAGGGAAUCUGCUGGAGCUUCACUAAGUCCCUUUUACGGUUGAAAAGAGAAAAGGGGAAAAGAGAAAAGUGGAAAGUGGAUCUGCUACAGAUGCUCUUACAUUAUUACUAAUUUUUGUUAGGGUACUUGCAAGUGUGUAAUUUGAAAGGGUUUUUUUGGCUAAUUUCGUAAAUUGUUGGAGAUACAAAUCAACCCCAAAGAUAAAAAAAAAUUAGAAAUAUAGUAACAAAAAUGGAAAAGGUUAUGAAAAGAUAAGAUACAGCAGCUCGUGGGCCUAAGGGCCUGUUUGGGAAGGGGGUGUUAAAGUUUAACACCCCCCUUUUAACACCUUUUUAACAAAAUGGCUGCCAAACACUUGUGUUAAAAUAGUAGUGUUAAAGUUUAACACCUCUUUUUUCAUAAACACAUGGAUGGGGUGUUAAAAUUUGCUAAAGGUGUUAAAAGUGGUCUCCCUCCCCACUUAUUCC
rnacentral:lncRNA from 1 species